rnacentral:rRNA from 1 species
UACGUAGGGUGCAAGCGUUGUCCGGAAUUAUUGGGCGUAAAGAGCUCGUAGGCGGUCUGUCGCGUCUGCUGUGAAAUCUCAGGGCUUAACCCUGAGCUUGCAGUGGGUACGGGCAGACUAGAGUGCGGUAGGGGAGACUGGAAUUCCUGGUGUAGCGGUGAAAUGCGCAGAUAUCAGGAGGAACACCGGUGGGCGAAGGCGGGUCUCUGGGCCGAUACUGACGCUGGAGGAG